UACGUAGGGUGCGAGCGUUGUCCGGAAUUAUUGGGCGUAAAGAGCUCGUAGGCGGUCUGUCGCGUCGGUCGUGAAAACUUGGGGCUUAACCCUGAGCUUGCGGUCGAUACGGGCAUGACUGGAGUUCGGCAGGGGAGACUGGAAUUCCUGGUGUAGCAGUGAAAUGCGUAGAGAUCAUGAGGAAGACCAGUGGCGAAGGCGGGUCUCUGGACAGUUCCUGACACUGAGACACGAAGGCCAGGGGAGCAAACGGG
rnacentral:rRNA from 1 species